GACGAACGCUGGCGGCGUGCCUAAUACAUGCAAGUAGAACGGUGAAGAGAGGAGCUUGCUCUUUUCGGAUGAGUGGCGAACGGGUGAGUAACGCGUAGGUAACCUGCCUGGUAGCGGGGGAUAACUAUUGGAAACGAUAGCUAAUACCGCAUAAGAUGCGUUAUCGCAUGAUCAUCGAGUGAAAGGAGCAACUGCAUGACUACCACAUGGGCCUUCGUUGUUUUAGCUUGAUGGUGGGGUAACGGCUCACCAAGGCGACGAGACAUAGCCGACCGGAGAGGAUGAGUGGCCAGACUGAGACGGUGACAGGGCACAGAGUGCUACAGGAAGCAGCCGGAGGGAAUCUUGGGCAAGAGGCGGAAGACAGUGCGAGAUACGCCGAAGGAGGAAACAAGGUUGUCGGGUCGUAGAGCUCUGUUGUAAGGGAGGAACGAGUUUUAGGGUGGAAAGUUCAGACAGUGACGGUAUCUGAAGAGAAAGCGACGGCUAACUACGUG
rnacentral:rRNA from 1 species